GAGUUUGAUCGUGGCUCAGAUUGAACGCUGGCGGCAUGCCUUACACAUGCAAGUCGAACGGCAGCACGGGAGCUUGCUCCUGGUGGCGAGUGGCGAACGGGUGAGUAAUGCAUCGGAACGUAUCCUGGAGUGGGGGAUAACGUAGCGAAAGUUACGCUAAUACCGCAUAUUCUGUGAGCAGGAAAGCGGGGGACCUUCGGGCCUCGCGCUCUUGGAGCGGCCGAUGUCGGAUUAGCUAGUUGGUGAGGUAAAGGCUCACCAAGGCGACGAUCCGUAGCAGGUCUGAGAGGAUGAUCUGCCACACUGGAACUGAGACACGGUCCAGACUCCUACGGGAGGCAGCAGUGGGGAAUUUUGGACAAUGGGGGGCAACCCUGAUCCAGCCAUGCCGCGUGAGUGAAGAAGGCC
rnacentral:rRNA from 1 species